rnacentral:misc_RNA from 1 species
CACUUCGAUCGUCGUCCAGGGCUCAGGUGUGACAGUGCAGGCGAAGACCCCUGCAGAGGAAGUGACCUACGCUCAGAUUUCUCAGAAUCUCCGUAAUCAAAAUAACCGAACAAAUGAUGUCUUCAACGCCGAUCACCUCCGCAUCAAGAUUGCUGUCGACAUUCGCACUCGUCGCGACAUCAUGCCUCCUCCUCGUCCACGGAGACCACUAUCCAGGUCAGGCGGAAUUGGAUCGGGAUCCCUCGCUCUCAUCCCCCCAAGAUUGUCUGCGUGAAUGCAAAAAAGGCAACCCACCGAGAAUAUGCUAUUAUCAUUUCACCAUUGAAUACUACACCGUUCUCGGAUCUGCUUGCGAACUGUGCACCCCCAACAUCACGAACCAAGUAACGGCCAAUUGUCAAUGCGUACUCGCCGAUGGCAUCGAGCGAAGCAUCGUAACUGUCAACAGAAUGGUGCCCGGGCCCAGCAUCCAGGUAUGCGAAGGUGACAAGGUCGUCAUUGACGUUGCGAAUCACGCGGACGGUGCGGACACCGCUAUUCAUUGGCAUGGAAUUCUGCAAAAAGGGACGCAGUACUACGACGGUGUUCCGCAGCUCACGCAGUGUCCUAUUCCGCACGCUACUACCUUCAGGUACCAGUGGAUGGCUGACGAGGCCGGUACAUAUUUUUGGCACUCUCAUUCGGGUCUGCAAAAAUUAGACGGGGUAUACGGACCUUUGGUCGUUCGUCCCAUCAACGGCACUGACCCUAACGAGGCUUUGUACGACGUCGAUUCGAACAAUCAGUUGAUCUUCAUAAACGACUGGAUGCACGAAUUGGCCAACGACCACUUCCCAGGACUUCUGGGACCCAACCAAGGCCAGCUACCCGACAACUUGCUGAUCAACGGGAAAGGGCGGUACACGGAUCCGGUGUCCGGCAAUACGACUACCACUCCGCUGGAUGUAAUCACCGUGAAACCGGGCCUCAGGUAUAGGAUGAGGAUGGUCAGUUCCAUGUGCACCGUGUGUCCCGUUAUAAUUACCAUCGAAGGGCACGAUUUGCUGCUGAUCGACAUGGACGGUAGUGCGGUACGUCCCGUGAAAGUCGGUUCCGCCAUCAUUUUCACAGGGGAGCGUUACGAUUUUGUAUUAAACGCGAACCAGACAGUAGGUGCGUAUUGGAUACACGUUCGUGGAUUGGGAGAAUGCGGUAUACCACCGGGUAUUCAUCAACACGCGAUUCUCAAGUACGAGGGGGGACCGGAUGAGCCAACUACCAAACAACCGACUUAUGACAAUCAUCUUCCUCAGGGAGUACUUCUCAAUCCGUUGGACGGUAAAUGUGACUAUCCGCGUAAAGACGCGGUGUGCAUAAGUCAGGUACAAAGUGCAAUCCCCGUCGACAAAGCGCUGCUGACGAGUGAACCGGAUGCAAAAAUUUACCUGCCCUUCAAAUUUUUCAACUACAAUACCACGGAGCUCUUCAAACCGAACACGUACGACCGUUUCAUGGUCGCACCCGGCGGUGUCGCGCUUCUUUCGCUGAUCGAUGGCGUCUCGUUCAUGUUUCCACCGUCACCACCGUUGUCCCAAUUCGAAGACAUCGAUCCCGAACUGUUCUGCAACGAUGACGACCGUCCCCCUAAUUGCGGAGAGAAUUGCAUGUGCACGCACAUGCAUCACGUCGAACGCGGUUCAAUUGUUGAGAUAGUAAUCGUGGAUGAAAUGGGAGUGGUCGACCUGUACCAUCCAUUUCAUUUGCAUGGAUACUGUUUCUCGGUCAUGGGAAUGGGUCACGGGUCUCUGCCUAAGAACAGAGUGAGGCGAAAAUUGACCGUCGAUGAUAUUCGAAAUCUCGAUCUACAAGGUCUCCUGAACAGACGGACAGACCUGCCACCUUACAAAGAUACGAUUCCGAUCCCCAACAAUGGAUACGUAGUUAUAAGAUUCCACGCCGAUAAUCCCGGGUAUUGGCUGCUGCACUGUCAUUUCAUGUAUCACACGGUAAUCGGUAUGAACGUAGUUAUCAAAGUUGGUAACCAGACCGAUCUACCUCCCGUUCCACCGGGUUUUCCAAAAUGUGGGAAUUGGCUGCCACCCAUAACACCCAUACCAACUAAAACGGAAUGUGUCUCAAAACAGGCAAAACAUUGCACACCAAAAAAAUAGUCAUCGAAUUAAGCAAGGCCAAAUAUUUGUAUCGAUUAAAUCUACCUGAUAAUAACAACUCAAACCUUCAACCUUCUUUUCCACCAUUUUAUGUCGAAUUGACGAAUUCAUCGGUAGCGUUCCAGUGUCAAAAAUUUCGCGUCCUCGACAUCGAUAUACGGACCCAUGUACGCUUGGACAGCUGUUCCAACAACAUCGUCAGGGAUUAUCUUACUUGGAUCUCCAAUAAGGCUGGAGUGGAGAUUGAUUCAAUUCAUGACAUAAAAUUAAAUUAAAUACC